rnacentral:lncRNA from 1 species
UUCUUACUGUUCUUAUUUGCAUAAACAGAACAGUCAGAAUAUCUGCUUAAAUCGUAAAAGAGAAUCAGAAACCUCUAACGUUUUAUUUCUGCAGAAUAACAAAAUCUUAAAAUGAAUACUCAAAAUGAUAUGAAAUUAAUUUUUCUUCUCUAAAUAUUUCUUAGUUUCUGAUAUUAAAAACGUUCUAAGGGGUGGUCUAUUUAUAGGCGAUCACACACCCCUUCAAUCACAAUCUUUCACGUAGAGUUGUGACCAUUGACCAAUGCGAAUGAUCACAACAUUUCGGAUUAAACUAUAUUCGUUGGAUCACGCUGUUUCGAUUAACGGCUCAUAUCGCAACCCUUCGAACUAUUGCAUCCUUUGGUUUACGCGAGUGCCACGUCAUCACCAACGGUUAUCUAAUUCGACCACCAUGCAAGCGCCAUGUCAUUGCCACUUGUCGCCAAGUUGUAAUAAGAAAGGGCGCCUACAAGGCGCCUCAUGUCGACAUGCUAAGUGCACCAACGGUCAUCUGAUUCGACUACCACGCAAGCGCCCCGUCACUGCCACUUUAAGCCAAGUGACAAUAAGAAAGGGCGCCUCACGCCGACAUACUAAGUGCGCCACACAGCCCGCUGCCACGCACGCGCGUGACACAGGUGUGGAUUCAUGCCAAGCACUGAAUUUGCCGGUUUACUUUAUGGUGCAAAGCACCAUAACAUAUCCAAACAUAUUUAAUACUUUUAAAUAUCUUUUUAUAUAUAAAAAAAUAUAAUUUUUUCAUAUCUAACUAAUGUGGGACAAAACCCACAUACAAAAAAUGAGCAUUCUAAAAGAACAAUGAAGCUUUUCAAAAAUCUCAAAAAUAACACCAUUAACAACAUUAAUAUUUUGAAAAUAUCUAACAAAGAGUGGUGGUGAAAUGAAAUAUUUAUAUCCUAUUUUUUUGCACAUUCUAUUUGGGAAAAAUAUUUUUUAUAUUUUAGUGUUUACCCAGCGCACCCUACCUUUUAUUUUUAUUACACAAAGUUAUAGAGAGAUUUUUAAUAUUUUUAUAAAUUAUCAGAAUUGUCCUCCACAAUACAUAAUAGUAUACUUUACUUCUUUCUUCUCUUUGAAGGAAUACAUUUCUUUAGGCGUUUUAUUAAAAAGUUGCACAGUAAAAAUAAAAAUUAAUGUGCAUAAAUUAUGCAUUACCUUGUAUUUUACGCGACAAAAAAAAGUGUGAAGUGGGAAAAAAGAAAAUAGUCAUUGAUAUGGUCUAAAAUUUUUUAUUUUUAGACUUUAUUGAGUUUAUCGUUUAUGAAAAAAUCUAAAUUAAUUGUAUGUCAGUAACUAUAUGAUCAUAUUAUUAUAAAAAAUUAAAAAUAUAAUACAUCGAUCCUUAAUUAUUUUUAUCUUAUUAUAGUAAAAAAUAUAUAUAAAUAUACCGAUAAAUUUUUGUAAUUUAUCAAUAUUUUUACAAUAACAUAAUUUUUACUUGAAUUUUUUUUCUUGAUAAAGCAUAACAGAAAAGUAGACACAUCCUACUUUGGAGACACAUAUUAACCAUAUAUGGAAUGGACAAUGGGCUACGUGAAACCAUGAGAACCACAGGUGGGAGUGAUGGGUCACCCAUCAAACCCACUGACCAAAUUUAAUUUAGACAGAGAGGCAUGGACAGAGGGAGAAAGAAAGAAAGACGUGCAGGAAGAAAUAAUGAUUUGGCAGAGAUAAAUUUUAUGAUGUGGGUGAUCAUGAAAGAUAGGACAAAUAAUUACGAUGAGAUGAUGUCCGAUCGAGAUGAAUUUUUAGUAUGAUAUUCAUGGAUGAGAGAUCAAUAUAUCUAUCGAUUUGAGAUAAGCAAUACUUUCCUAAAAUAUAUUUUCUAAACUCUGAAGUACUUUCUUAAUAUAUCUAAUUUUGUAUUCCUCUUGAGCAUGUGUACUAUCUAUUGAAAUUUAUAAUAUUUUAUUAAAAUCGUGAUAUGUAUGAUUUUAUUGAAUGAUGGCUAAAAUGUUAUGGUAUUGAUUGGUACAUUGAUUGAGUGGACCUGCCAAUAGCUUGACCAACAGUCCGAAAAAAAUAAAAAAUGAUGGGGUGGGUGAGGCCGGUUACCAGUAAUGUACAUGAAAAAAUUAAGUAUGAGAUCUUUCAUGAUUUGAUAAUUCGUUGAGCUCUUCUAGAUUUGUCUUUGAACCAUUAUUGAAUUGAGCUUUCAGUCGUAUUGUAUACUUUCAGGUUUAAAAUAAAUUUUCAAGUGGACAUGAGAGUUCGGAUAGUACGAGAUAGGUUGGGUGAAAGAAUUGAAAAUUUUAGAGUUUAGAUCAUUUUGUAUAAAAUAUUUUUAGAUAUAUUGUAAUAUUAACAUUUGAAGACUGUUAAAUAUUUAAAAAAAAAUAGCACUUUAAUUUGUAUAUAAGAAAAAUACGACAAUCGUUAAUUAAUUAACGACAGGAAGAAUCGGCUCGUUAUAAAAGAUGUUCUAAUUUAAAUUUUUAAUUUUUCAUAAUUACCCUUCAAACAGUUAAAAUUAUCUAAA